CUGGGGUACUCGAAUGGCGAACGGGUGAGUAACACGUGGGUGAUCUGCCCUGCACUUCGGGAUAAGCCUGGGAAACUGGGUCUAAUACCGGAUAGGAGCCAUUUUUAGUGUGAUGGUUGGAAAGUUUUUCGGUGUAGGAUGAGCUCGCGGCCUAUCAGCUUGUUGGUGGGGUAAUGGCCUACCGAGGCGGCGACGGGUAGCCGGCCUGAGAGGGUGGACGGCCACAUUGGGACUGAGAUACGGCCCAG
rnacentral:rRNA from 1 species